CGAGGGGUGGGUGGCGUUGCGCCACCCGAUGGCUCUCGGCCAUCGCAUGCACCGGGCGCCGGUCCGGGCGCUGCGC
rnacentral:tRNA from 1 species